rnacentral:rRNA from 1 species
CCCUUAGACGUUCUGGGCCGCACGCGCGCUACACUGACGAAGGCAACGAGCUUUCCUUUACCGAAAGGUACGGGUAAUCUUUUGAAACUUCGUCGUGCUGGGGAUAGAUCCUUGCAAUUAUUGAUCUUAAACGAGGAAUUCCUAGUAAGCGCAAGUCAUCAACUUGCGUUGAUUACGUCCCUGCCCUUUGUACACACCGCCCGUCGCUACUACCGAUUGAAUGAUUUAGUGAGGACUUCGGACUGGGACCGAUGCGGCUUUCGGGCUGCGUCGGUAUUCUGGAAAGAUGUCCAAACUGUAUCAUUUAGAGGAAGUAAAAGUCGUAACA